UCAGAGUUCAAUUAACCCCACACGCGCACUGUAACUGUGUAAUGGGUGCCCGGACAGAGUAUCUGGACGGGUUAUUACACGGGGUGUGCGGAGGCUUAAC
rnacentral:sRNA from 1 species